rnacentral:rRNA from 1 species
UACGAAGGGGGCUAGCGUUAAUCGGAAUUACUGGGCGUAAAGCGUGCGCAGGCGGUUUUGUAAGCCAGGUGUGAAAUCCCCGGGCUCAACCUGGGAAUGGCAUUUGGGACUGCAAGGCUGGAGUGCGGCAGAGGAGACUGGAAUUCCUGGUGUAGCAGUGAAAUGCGUAGAUAUCAGGAGGAAUACCGAUGGCGAAGGCAGGUCUCUGGGCUGACACUGACGCUCAUGCACGAAAGCGUGGGGAGCAAACAGG